CACAAAGAUUAUUAGAGGACCCACACUCCCACCUUGCUACUUGGCGCCUCUAACGGUCCUCCUUCAGUUCCCCUAUCUGCCGCUUAAGUAGAGUGUGACAAGAGGGAGGGAGGGGGGACAUGUGAAUUCACGGAGAUACACUUGAAGAAUCAGAGUUGCGUUCUGAUGAACACCCCCACUCUCCAAUCCUUGAAGCUGCUACUGCAAGCCUCUAUCGGCAUACAUGGAAGUUUCCAUUCCAGUGCCAAUACCAAGGAGGUGGGGAAGAUUCUCCACUAGGAUUGUCACACGGGAAGAGAGAUGCCUCCAGCUAUCAAAUGUCCCUGCCUUCAAUCCAAUGAUAAAGCCAUACUGGUGUGUUUUGGUUUUCUGAAGAUCUGCAACAUAACAAACAGCUAAGUCGGCAACCAGAGCCCAAGUGACACAGAACUUAUCAACCUGUUCAGCUUCUGAGAAACACCUGAUGGCACAGAUCCGUGGUGAUGACAUAUAUGAUCAGUGUCAGCCAGCAGAGCUUUUUCAAGUGACAAAAGACCUUUCUCUAUAGGAUCAGAUGAGAUGGAACCUUCACUGGUUCAUUAUGACGAAUUUGUGUUGUAACUUGUAGAUAAAAUUGCUCAAUCUCAAAUUCCAAUCUCAAUGCUGCUGUUCUGACAGUAAGAGAUGCUGCUAGGGUUCCAUGUCACCUAGUAAUGUUUUGGUUUCAUAUAUCAGCUUCUGCCUCCA